GUAGGUGGCAAGCGUUGUCCGGAAUUAUUGGGCGUAAAGCGCGCGCAGGCGGUUCUUUAAGUCUGAUGUGAAAGCCCACGGCUCAACCGUGGAGGGUCAUUGGAAACUGGAGAACUUGAGUACUGAAGAGGAAAGCGGAAUUCCACGUGUAGCGGUGAAAUGCGUAGAGAUGUGGAGGAACACCAGUGGCGAAGGCGGCUUUUCUGGUCUGUAACUGACGCUGAGGCGCGAAAGCGUGGGGAGCAAACAGGGAUUAGAUACCCUGGUAGUCCACGCCGUAAACGAUGAGUGCUAAGUGUUAGGGGGUUCCCCGCCCCCUUAGUGCUGCAGCUAACGCAUUAAGCACUCCGCCUGGGGAUACGGCCGCAAGGCUG
rnacentral:rRNA from 1 species